UAGGACUAUUUGUCUUCGAAGUAGUGUUCAGAUUCGCAACUUCUGAGUGAAGAUCUGCAUCUUUGUUGGCUGCUGAAAAUGAAAAGGCAACAUCACUAUCAAGCACAGGCUGAAGGACUUCGCCCUGUUGCUUCCUGCACUGCUCUUUAUAUCCGAAAUCAAGUCAAACUAUAUGGAACGGCCCCUUUUCUCCAGAAGCGUUGCAGACAAUCAUGGGAUUGCAACAAAAAGUCUGGUAUUUCCGCACUUAGGCUCCUCAGCUAGGAUGCCUCCUUUGCGUGGGCCUUCUCUUUUGUCUUAACUGACCUCUCCCGGAGCCAGUUCCACUGGCUGCUGCUUGUGGGUUUGCUUUGUAGCUCUGCAGCUUUGCCUCCAUUUUCAGUAAAUCCAUGAUGUUCCCUUUCUCUUUGUUAUAUACUAAGCUUGGAUCCUAGAACAAUAGGCAAGUAGGAUCCUAGAAUGUAACAACUGAUUGGCCUGCAGGAAAAGACCAAUCAGUCUCCAGGAGGGAAGCAGAACCAGCCAAUCAGAUGGGACUCAUUGUGUAAAUAAUGUAUAUAAAAGCCUGAGGUUUGGGGGGCAACUCAUUCACUGUUUUACAAGCUUCAAUAAAGAGCAUGAACUCAC